rnacentral:rRNA from 1 species
AUACAGUGGAGAGUUUGAUCCUGGCUCAGGAUGAACGCUAGCUACAGGCUUAACACAUGCAAGUCGAGGGGCAGCAUUGGGAUAGCUUGCUAUUCCAGAUGGCGACCGGCGCACGGGUGAGUAACGCGUAUCCAACCUUCCCCGUAGUAGGGCACAG